GCUUCCGAGGAGCGCUGCGAGGUGCCGCAAGGCCCCCAGGCUCGGACCCCGCCAGACCGUCGCCGGUCGCGGGCACAUUUGUAACGGCGCUCACCUGAA
rnacentral:ncRNA from 2 species